rnacentral:rRNA from 1 species
AUUGAACGCUGGCGGCAGGCCUAACACAUGCAAGUCGAGCGAGCGGCGGACGGGUGAGUAAUGUCUGGGAAACUGCCUGAUGGAGGGGGAUAACUACUGGAAAAGGUAGCUAAUACCGCAUACCAUGGGAAGUGCCCAGAUGGGAGUAGAUAGUAGGGGGGGUAACGGCUCACCUAGGCGACGAGCCCUAGCUGGUCUGAGAGGAUGACCAGUCACACUGGGACGGAGACACGGCCCAGACUCGUACGGGAGGCAGCAGUGGGGAAUAUCGCACAAUGGGCGCAAGCCUGAUGCAGCCAUGCCGCGGGUAUGAAGAAGGCCUUCGGGUUGUAAAGUACUUUCAGCGGGGAGGCGUUACCCGCAGAAGAAGCACCGGCUAACUCCGUGCCAGCAGCCGCGGUAAUUC